rnacentral:rRNA from 1 species
GUAGGGAAUAUUGGACAAUGGGCGAAAGCCUGAUCCAGCCAUGCCGCGUGUGUGAAGAAGGUCUUCGGAUUGUAAAGCACUUUAAGUUGGGAGGAAGGGUAGUAACCUAAUACGUUGCUACUUUGACGUUACCGACAGAAUAAGCACCGGCUAACUUCGUGCCAGCAGCCGCGGUAAUACGAAGGGUGCAAGCGUUAAUCGGAAUUACUGGGCGUAAAGCGCGCGUAGGUGGUUCAGUAAGUUGGAAGUGAAAUCCCCGGGCUCAACCUGGGAACUGCUUUCAAAACUGCUGAGCUAGAGUACGGUAGAGGGUGGUGGAAUUUCCUGUGUAGCGGUGAAAUGCGUAGAUAUAGGAAGGAACACCAGUGGCGAAGGCGACCACCUGGACUGAUACUGACACUGAGGUGCGAAAGCGUGGGGAGCAAACAGGAUUAGAAACCCGAGUAGUCC